rnacentral:lncRNA from 1 species
AAAAAAUGUAGAGACAACAGGAAUUAGACGUUUUCCUAUACAAAAGCCUAAGUCAUAAAAAUGAUCGUAAACUAGGCUUUGUGGCCGACUCAUCUUGAAUGCUUCUUCCAAGUCCAUAUGACAUCUCCACAUUUUAAUACACUAUCCUCAAUGCCUCGUAUAUAAAAAGUCAUCUCUCUUGAAAAACCUUCAAUCACCACGGGAGCCGCCAUUGAUAAACUUCAAGACCGUCAACAAAUCAAGUGCAACAGUUGGUGAAGGGGUGACUUCGCAUCUUGUAUGACAUCUCAGACUGAUAUCUAGACUCAUCGAACUUCUUCGCAAGUCUGCAAAAGAAAUAAACAAAGAGAUAAGAUUCGUGACGAUAGCCGAAUCCAUUACAAGGCUGUAAAAUCAACUUCAAAAAUAUUUGUUAGGCUAACUAAGAAUGAAUGGAGCUUCAUCUUCAACAAGACUAUAGUUCUCGACGUCCGAAUUUCAUAGGAUCAAACUGUUGGUGAUUUCGACGCUCCUAGUUCAAGAUACAGUUUUUCUGGCCGAAAGCACGCAAACCUGAAAGUUCCCUGCGGUCAGUUUGACUUUCAAUAUUUUUCUGUUUCUAGCCCGAGAAGAGUUCCGGAAUGGAAUUUUUAUGUGUUGUAGAUUUAGGAAUUUUCUUUCCAACAGAAUAAACGGAUUGUAAUUCCGAUACUCCUAGCUCAAGAUACAAUUGUUUUCGCUGAAGGUAUGCAAAUCUGAAAGUUCACUGCAGUUAAGUCGAUGUCGCGAUUUCUGUUGAUAUCCCGAAAGGAGUUCUGCCAAAAAUUUUAUAGGUACUUCAGGUCUCUUAGUUUUCUUUCUAAUGGUGUAAACGGAUUGUAAUUCUGACACUCGUAGCUCGAGAUAUGAAUUUUUCCACCAUAGCGUGCAAAGCUGAAAAGCAAUUUCGUGGACAGAUGGGUCAAGUUCAGAAAGUUGCUGCGGACAAUGUGCUAGGAAUUCUUCUAUGAUAUCUUGAAGAUUUCAUUAUCUCUGAGUCUUUUUUCCAAUGGUGCAGAUGGCUCGCAAUUUGGACAUUCCUAGCUUGAGAUAUAUAUAUUUUGAUGACAACAUAGAGUGCAGUAAAGUCAAAAUGUCAGAUAUGUAUACCAGCUUCAAAAGUCGACUUCGGCUAAUCCUCAAGGAAUUUAUCCGUGAAUUCUUUAAAGGAUGUAACUGUUCAAGUAUUGAUUCUUUGAAAGCAAGAAGCUUCAGAUUUCAUUGCUCCUACAUCAAAGAAUUAAUAAUUUUGCAAAGGUUCGCCAAGCACUCGCUCGCCAAGGAUAAAAUAUGGUCGCUCGAGAUCCAAGCCUCUUUCUCGCCAAGUCGCAAGGCUAAGAUGCACCAUGUUGCUGAAGGGAUGUACCAAGUUGUUGUUGUACUCUCUUGAAAACCUACAAAAAUAAGAAAAGAUUUUGGAGCCCUCGGUGCCAACAAGAUGACGUUUUUGUAGAUACGGUGCGAGUAGCACGACGAGCAGCUCGAUUAAUGGAUAUCGCCAUAUCGGUGCCAUAGCACGACGUUUCUGCUUCUACUGAUACGAUUCUAAUAGCACAUUGCUUCGAUUCGGUAUGAUGGACAUCAAGGAUUUUCCAAAUCGGCAUGGAAAGGGAAGUUAAAAUUUGAGAGCCUCGCUAAUCUCUGGCCUCGACCAUGAGUUAGGUCGUUGAGUAUCUAAAACCUUCAGUUCCACCAGCCACGCACAAGCAAUAAAGACAACGGCACAAUGCUUUCACUUAGCAACAAGAAUCGGUGUCAAUGACACGACGCUUCAAUGUUGAUGGUCAGUAUUGUGACGUGCAGUUCUCCGUCAAAUCUCGAUGGAUCGUACCCUUCAUGAACCUACAAAAAAAGGAGUGGUGAUCAUCCACUUCUUCUCAUGAUGCAUAUGGGAGAACUCACCAUGUAUAUCAUCUCCGAGCCUGCAACAAAAGAAAAGGGGAAAAAAGAAGUAUGAUGCCCGAACAAUCCUCUCGAUUUCGGCGCUUGAUUGAUCAAAGAUUUGUUGCGUGUGGAUCAAGAGGGCUGGAGCUUCGACGUUUAUAGAAAUUGUAUCUCACCGAGUCUUCUUACCAAUGGUGUAAACAGCUCGUAGUUCGGAUGCUUCUAUUUUGAGAUAUGCAUUUUUUUAGCUGUAAAGCUGAAAAAAUCGAGCCAGCAUGUCGGAACUCGUCUUCCAGAUUCAGUAAAUUAUCUGGGAAAACCUGACAUCCUGACUGUGAUUUCUACAUAUGUUGUAGCUCCAAGAAUCUAAUUUUCAGCGCCACAAACGGCUUGUGAUUUUGACGCCCCUAUCUCGAGAUACGUUUUUUUCGCCGAGAGUGCGCAGAACUGUAAGACCAAUGGGCGAGACGCAUACGCCAAGUUCAAAAAUUAAUUCCAAACAAUACAGAAGGGAUUUGGCUCUUAAUUUUUGAUAUGCUGGAUUUCUUUGAGUCUAGAAUCAGUAGAAUCAAGCGACUUGCGAUUUGGACUCUCUAAUCUCAAGAUAUAAAUCUUUUGUUGAGAGCACGCAAAGCUGAAGGAGCUUGUAUGUCAAAAUUCAGUCAUGUAAAUUCUGAAUAGUAUCUGGGGCAAUCUAGGAGCAACUGGAUUGUGAUCUUUACAGAAGUCGUAGUUCAGGAAGUCUAGUUUCUGUAGCCACAAACCGCUCGUGAUUUCGGCGUUCCUACACCAAGAUAUGAUUUUUUUGGGCUAAGACGUGCAAAGCUGAAAUGUCGAGCAUGACAGAACGCGAACUAAGUAUAGGAAGCUCACCUGGGAUGAUACAAUGCGAAUCUAAAUCCAAAUUUUUGAUAUGUUUCAGUACUCUGAGUCUAGUUUCUGUAGCCAUAAAUCACUCGUGAUUUCGGCUUUCCUAUACCAAGAUAUAAUUUUUUUUAGUUAAGACGCACAAAGCUGAAAUAUUGAACGCGACAGAACUUGGAACCAAGUUUAAGAAGUUCAGAUGGGACAAUAUAAAGCGAAUUUAACCUCAGUUUUUGUUGCCUCUAAGUGUCUACUUUUUGGAGGAUCAAAUGGAUUGAGGUUUGGACACUCCUAUGAAAAGAUGUGAAUUGUUUUCUGUAAGUGCGCCAAGCUAUCGGACUAACGGGAGACGUCCGACUUAACUAAAGCAUAAGAAAAGCUAAUUGCCAGCUGCUGCUUGUUGGUUAAUACGCUGAGGCUGGAGGUAUG